rnacentral:rRNA from 1 species
UACGAAGGGUGCAAGCGUUACUCGGAAUUACUGGGCGUAAAGCGUGCGUAGGUGGUUCGUUAAGUCUGAUGUGAAAGCCCUGGGCUCAACCUGGGAAUGGCAUUGGAUACUGGCGACCUAGAGUGCGGUAGAGGGGUGUGGAAUUCCCGGUGUGGCAGUGAAAUGCGUAGAUAUCGGGAGGAACAUCUGUGGCGAAGGCGACACCCUGGACCAGCACUGACACUGAGGCACGAAAGCGUGGGGAGCGAACAGG